GUAGGUGGCAAGCGUUGUCCGGAAUUAUUGGGCGUAAAGCGCGCGCAGGCGGUUCUUUAAGUCUGAUGUGAAAGCCCACGGCUCAACCGUGGAGGGUCAUUGGAAACUGGAGAACUUGAGUACAGAAGAGGAAAGCGGAAUUCCACGUGUAGCGGUGAAAUGCGUAGAGAUGUGGAGGAACACCAGUGGCGAAGGCGGCUUUCUGGUCUGUAACUGACGCUGAGGCGCGAAAGCGUGGGGAGCAAACAGGAUUAGAUACCCUGGUAGUCCACGCCGUAAACGAUGAGUGCUAAGUGUUAGGGGGUUUUCCGCCCCCCUUAGUGCUGCAGCUAACGCAUUAAGCACGCCGCCUGGGAGUACGGCCGCAAGGCUG
rnacentral:rRNA from 1 species